rnacentral:rRNA from 1 species
AGGUCUUCGGCAUCGUAUAGUUCUGUCGCAGGGGAAGAUGACUGACGGUACCCUUUGAGGAAGCACCGGCUAAUUACGUGCCAGCAGCCCCCGGUAAUACGUAGGGUGCAAGCGUUAUCCGGAUUUACUGGGCGUAAGGUGCGUAGGUGGUUCUUCAAGUCGGUGGUUAAGGCUACGGCUCACCCGUAUUAAGCCGCCGAAACUGGAAGACUUGAGUGCAGGAGAGGAAAGUGGAAUUCUCAGUGUAGCGGUGAAAUGCGUAGAUAUUGAGAAGAACACCCAGUAGUGAGGCGGCUUUCUGGACUGUAACUGACACUGAGGCACGAAGCGUGGGUAGCAAACAGGAUUAGAUACCCUGGUAGUCCACGCCGUAAACGAUGAGUAUUAGGUGUCGGGGGUUACCCCCCUCGGUGCCGCAGUUAACGCAUUAAAUACUCCGCCUGGGGAGUACGCACGCAAGUGUGAAACUCAAAGGAAUUGACGGGGACCCGCACAAGUAGCGGAGCAUGUGGUUUAAUUCGAAGCAACGCGAAGAACCUUACCUAAGCUUGACAUCUCUCAGAUCGGUAGUUAAUCCUACCUUCCCUUCGGGGCUGAGAUGACAGGUGGUGCAUGGUUGUCGUCAGCUCGUGUCGUGAGAUGUUGGGUUAAGUCCCGCAACGAGCGCAACCCUUGUCUUUAGUUGCCAGCAUUAAGUUGGGCACUCUAGAGAGACUGCCAGGGAUAACCUGGAGGAAGGUGGGGAUGACGUCAAAUCAUCAUGCCCCUUAUGCUUAGGGCUACACACGUGCUACAAUGGGUGGUACAGAGGGUUGCCAANCCGCAAGGUGGAGCUAAUCCCUUAAAGCCAUUCUCAGUUCGGAUUGUAGGCUGAAACUCGCCUACAUGAAGCUGGAGUUACUAGUAAUCGCAGAUCAGAAUGCUGCGGUGAAUGCGUUCCCGGGUCUUGUACACACCGCCCGUCACACCAUGGAAGUUGGAAACACCCGAAGCCGAUUAUCUAACCGCAAGGAAGAAGUCGUCGAAGGUGGAAUCAAUAACUAGGGUGAAGUCGUAACAAGGUAGCCGUAUCGGAAGGUGCGGCUGGAUCACCUCCUU